rnacentral:rRNA from 1 species
AUUGAACGCUGGCGGCAGGCCUUACACAUGCAAGUCGAACGGCAGCACGGGAGCAAUCCUGGUGGCGAGUGGCGAACGGGUGAGUAAUAUAUCGGAACGUGCCCAGUCGUGGGGAUAACGUAGCGAAAGCUACGCUAAUACCGCAUACGAUCUACGGAUGAAAGCGGGGGAUCGCAAGACCUCGCGCGAUUGGAGCGGCCGAUAUCAGAUUAGGUAGUUGGUGAGGUAAAGGCUCACCAAGCCGACGAUCUGUAGCUGGUCUGAGAGGACGACCAGCCACACUGGGACUGAGACACGGCCCAGACUCCUACGGGAGGCAGCAGUGGGGAAUUUUGGACAAUGGGGCGCAAGCCUGAUCCAGCAAUGCCGCGUGAGUGAUGAAGGCCUUAGGUUGUAAAGCUCUUUUACCCGAGAUGAUAAUGACAGUAUCGGGAGAAUAAGCUCGGCUAACUCCGUGCCAGCAGCCGCGGUAA